rnacentral:tRNA from 1 species
GGGGGUGUAGCUCAGUGAUAGAGUUUGUGCUUUGUAGCAUGCAGGAGGUCCUGAGUUCAAUCCCAGCAUCACUU